rnacentral:rRNA from 1 species
GGAUCCAGAACUUUGAUCAUGGCUCAGGACGAACGCUGGCGGCGCGCCUAACACAUGCAAGUCGAACGAGCGAGAGAGAGCUUGCUUUCUUGAGCGAGUGGCGAACGGGUGAGUAACGCGUGAGGAACCUGCCUCAAAGAGGGGGACAACAGUUGGAAACGACUGCUAAUACCGCAUAAGCCCACGGCUCGGCAUCGAGCAGAGGGAAAAGGAGCAAUCCGCUUUGAGAUGGCCUCGCGUCCGAUUAGCUAGUUGGUGAGGUAAUGGCCCACCAAGGCGACGAUCGGUAGCCGGACUGAGAGGUUGAACGGCCGCAUUGGGACUGAGACACGGCCCAGACUCCUACGGGAGGCAGCAGUGGGGAAUAUUGCACAAUGGGGGAAACCCUGAUGCAGCGACGCCGCGUGGAGGAAGAAGGUCUUCGGAUUGUAAACUCCUGUUGUUGAGGAAGAUAAUGACGGUACUCAACAAGGAAGUGACGGCUAACUACGUGCCAGCAGCCGCGGUAAAACGUAGGUCACAAGCGUUGUCCGGAAUUACUGGGUGUAAAGGGAGCGCAGGCGGGAAGACAAGUUGGAAGUGAAAUCCAUGGGCUCAACCCAUGAACUGCUUUCAAAACUGUUUUUCUUGAGUAGUGCAGAGGUAGGUGGAAUUCCCGGUGUAGCGGUGGAAUGCGUAGAUAUCGGGAGGAACACCAGUGGCGAAGGCGGCCUACUGGGCACCAACUGACGCUGAGGCUCGAAAGUGUGGGUAGCAAACAGGAUUAGAUACCCUGGGUAGUCCACACUGUAAACGAUGAUUACUAGGUGUUGGGAGGAUUGGGCCCCCUUCAGUGCCGCAGUUAACACAAUAAG